GUAGUCCCUGCCAGGUACAAGCAGGUCCCUCCCUAUCUGUCUCCAGUGUUGGAAUCAUAAAAAACACAUCCUACAUGUCUACUGUGUCCAUCCGUGGAAAGGCCCGUUCAUUAGAAAAAUAGACUUUAUCAGUUCAGCUGGGAAUAGACAAAGUAACCAGUGCAGUGGCAGCAUUCAGGGCUGUGUAAUCUGUGGGUCGCCACGUGCCCUUUUGUGGGCAUGAAAGUUGUGGUUUUGCAGGGGAAAAUGCCACUAACCUUGCAUAUUCAAAAGUGAUUGUGCAGGCAUAAUGGUGGGGGUUAUGGUUGCCAU